rnacentral:rRNA from 1 species
GACGAACGCUGGCGGCGUGCUUAACACAUACAAGUCGAACGGUGAACCUCUUCGGGGGGGAUCAGUGGCGAACGGGUGAGUAACACGUGGGCAACCUGCCCCCGGCUCUGGGAUAACUCCAAGAAAUUGGGGCUAAUACCGGAUGUUCACCGCUUCCCGCAUGGGUGGUGGUGGAAAGGGUUUCCGGCUGGGGAUGGGCCCGCGGCCUAUCAGCUUGUUGGUGGGGUAGUGGCCUACCAAGGCGACGACGGGUAGCCGGCCUGAGAGGGUGACCGGCCACACUGGGACUGAGACACGGCCCAGACUCCUACGGGAGGCAGCAGUGGGGAAUAUUGCGCAAUGGGCGGAAGCCUGACGCAGCGACGCCGCGUGGGGGAUGACGGCCUUCGGGUUGUAAACCUCUUUCAGCAGGGACGAAGCGCAAGUGACGGUACCUGCAGAAGAAGCACCGGCCAACUACGUG